GACGAAUGCUGGCGGCGUGCUUAACACAUGCAAGUCGAACGGAAAGGCCCUGCUUGCAGGGUACUCGAGUGGCGAACGGGUGAGUAACACGUGGGUGAUCUGCCCUGCACUUCGGGAUAAGCCUGGGAAACUGGGUCUAAUACCGGAUAGGAGCCAUUUUUAGUGUGAUGGUUGGAAAGUUUUUUCGGUGUAGGAUGAGCUCGCGGCCUAUCAGCUUGUUGGUGGGGUAAUGGCCUACCAAGGCGGCGACGGGUAGCCGGCCUGAGAGGGUGGACGGCCACAUUGGGACUGAGAUACGGCCCAGACUCCUACGGGAGGCAGCAGUGGGGAAUAUUGCACAAUGGGCGCAAGCCUGAUGCAGCGACGCCGCGUGGGGGAUGACGGCCUUCGGGUUGUAAACUCCUUUCGCUAGGGACGAAGCUUUUGUGACGGUACCUGGAUAAGAAGCACCGGCUAACUACGU
rnacentral:rRNA from 1 species